rnacentral:rRNA from 1 species
UACGUAGGGCGCAAGCGUUGUCCGGAAUUAUUGGGCGUAAAGAGCUCGUAGGCGGCCUGUCGCGUCCGCUGUGAAAUCCCGGGGCUCAACCCCGGGCCUGCAGUGGAUACGGGCUGGCUGGAGGCAGGCAGGGGAGAACGGAAUUCCUGGUGUAGCGGUGAAAUGCGCAGAUAUCAGGAAGAACACCCGUGGCGAAGGCGGCUCUCUGGGACGGUACUGACGCUGAGACGCGAAAGCGUGGGGAGCGAACAGG